UACGUAGGGGGCUAGCGUUGUCCGGAAUCAUUGGGCGUAAAGCGCGUGUAGGCGGCCCGGUAAGUCCGCUGUGAAAGUCGGGGGCUCAACCCUCGAAUGCCGGUGGAUACUGUCGGGCUAGAGUGCGGGAGAGGCGAGUGGAAUUCCUGGUGUAGCGGUGAAAUGCGCAGAUAUCAGGAGGAACACCAAUGGCGAAGGCAGCUCGCUGGGACGUGACUGACGCUGAGACGCGAAAGCGUGGGGAGCAAACAGG
rnacentral:rRNA from 1 species